GCCACGAUCGCAUAGCCCGGUAUUGCGCAAGCCUGGAAAGCUUGUCCCUUCGGGGGUCCCCGGUUCGAAUCCGGGUCGUGGCG
rnacentral:tRNA from 1 species